CCGCCGCUGGCACUUAUGUGCGUGGAGCAGCAGGACCAGCUGCUGCUGAAUGAGUUUGCGCUUCUCGGGGUCGGCCGUUGGGCCUGCUGACACUCCAGCCCCGGGGACCAUGCCCACCGACGCUACCUGCUGCAUCUGAGACUGGGACUGCAAAAGAAUGCCAAUACACAUCGGCCGAAGCAGCAGCCUGCUUCGCUUCGCGGAGGUUCCUCACUGCCAGCAGUGCUCAGACAGAGAGAGCAAGCCCAACCCAGCGGAGAGAGAGAGAGAGCGAGAGCGAGAGCGAGAGCGAAACGCAGACCCAGGAAGACCAGUCGAUCGAUACACGGUGAGGAAGAGAUAACUGUCGACGAGACAAGCGCCAACACCAGAUGAUGAAAAUAAUCAUCAUCAGGAUAAUUACAAAUAAAAAAAACUAUUUGCAAUAACUCAUAUGGCAGUGAUCAUUUCCUAAAAAAUUUACAAUGGAGUUAGAGAAGUUGUUUUGCAAAACUCAACAUAUAGGCCAUUAUUUUGGUGUCAAAAGUAAAAAAAACAAGUUGAAAACAAGUUCUUCUACUUAACAAGUUUUGGCAGAUAAUGUAAGACUGUUAACAACAUAAAGUGUAUGGAAAUUACUGUGGAUAAAGUCAUGAAAAAGUUGUUGCUGCUCUAUUGAUCAGGGUUUUUAAUAUCUUUUGUCAAGUCUACACAUUACAAAUGCAAGUGAAUAUUGGAACAUGUUAACAUUUGAUAUGUGUAACUGCCUGAAAUGACUGAUGUCGACUGAUGUUCAGUAGUUCGAAUUUGAUGUGUUUAAAAAUAUGAUCUUUCAU